GAUGAACGCUAGCGGGAGGCCUAACACAUGCAAGCCGAGCGGUAUUGUUUCUUCGGAAAUGAGAGAGCGGCGUACGGGUUCGUAACACGUGUGCAACCUGCCUUUAUCUGGGGGAUAGCCUUUCGAAAGGAAGAUUAAUACUCUAUGACAUAUUGAACGGCAUCGUUUAAUAUUGAAAGCUCCGGCGGAUAGAGAUGGGCACGCGAAAGAUUAGCUGGUUGGUGAGGUAACGGCUCACCAAGGCGAUGAUCUUUAGGGGGCCUGAGAGGGUGAUCCCCCACACUGGUACUGAGACACGGACCAGACUCCUACGGGAGGCAGCAGUGAGGAAUAUUGGUCAAUGGGUGCAAGCCUGAACCAGCCAUCCCGCGUGAAGGACGACUGCCCUAUGGGUUGUAAACUUCUUUUGUAUAGGGAUAAACCUACCCUCGUGAGAGUAGCUGAAGGUACUAUACGAAUAAGCACCGGCUAACUCCGUGCCAGCAGCCGCAGUAA
rnacentral:rRNA from 1 species